UACGUAGGGUGCAGGCGUUAAUCGGAAUUACUGGGCGUAAAGCGUGCGCAGGCGGUUUGCUAAGACAGGUGUGAAAUCCCCGGGCUUAACCUGGGAACUGCGCUUGUAACUGGCAAGCUAGAGUGUGGCAGAGGGGGGUGGAAUUCCACGUGUAGCAGUGAAAUGCGUAGAGAUGUGGAGGAACACCGAUGGCGAAGGCAGCCUUCUGGGCCAACACUGACGCUCAUGCACGAAAGCGUGGGGAGCAAACAGG
rnacentral:rRNA from 1 species